AAGCGCCAGGCCGCCUACGCCUCCGCCCUUCUCCCCGCCUCGGUAGGCCCUGAGGAGGCAAGGGCGAGGGUUGCCACAUAGGCCAGGAGGCGCGCGAGGAGCUGGUGGGGUUAAUUUAAAUUAAUUGUAAGCGUUCUUGCUGGCUUUUUAGUGAUUUAUUUCCUGAAUUCAUUUUCCAUACCGCCUUUCUUCCAAGGAGCUCAAGGCGGCGUUCAGGGUUCUUGCAGUUCCCAUUUACUUUCCUCACAUCGCUCGUGUGAGGAAGAGUAAGUGGCCCAAGGUCACAUGCAGUGAGCUUCAUGUGAGGACAGCAAGGCUACCAUGGUGACCAGCACCGCCCCCUGGUGGACUCAGGCGCUGAUGCCUCCUGGAUGGUCAUUUGGGGAGCCCCUGGGCUGAGCGGCCCUGGAUAUCAUAGCAAGAUCUGGAAGCGGGGUUGUGAAGGUCUUUCCAGGUGUGUUUGUGUGGGGCGGGGGGUGGCCAGGAUUGUAAAAUUACUUUUCAGGAGCUUUUGGAAGACACGAAACGUACACUUUUUUCCUUAAUGGCCAGGGACAGCUGAUCAAUCUUCUCCAGAAACUCUUUCUCAAACCGGUCAUGCUCCUGUUCCAUCCAGCUUCGUGCAGAUGAGAUCUGGUUACUGAGGCAACUGCACAACAUCCUUCAAGAAAACAAAAGGCCGCCCAGUGAAUGAGAACCAUCCUGUAACAGGGAUCCACUGUGAGAGAUCCCUCCUUUCCCCCAAAGAAUAAAGACCCUUUGGAUGGAGAUGAUCUGCCAUCUUGGCCCUUUCUGCAAGGGAGGGAACCCCUGUGCUUACACCUUCGGUUGCUUGGAAUGAAACCCACUUGAACGAUUACGCAGAAAGUGGCUGUUUCGGAGGCUAGACAGAUGUCUUGUCUAUGAAGGCUGAAGUUUGGAUCUUGUCACUAUGGUGAGCUUUUGCUAGGGACUAGCAGAAGCACUGUGCUGUAUAGAAAAACACCCAGCAGAAGCGGGGGCAAGAGGAGAGGGAAGCACUGACCACCCACACAUUCCUAGCUAGAGAGAGAGAG